rnacentral:rRNA from 1 species
AAAAGAAACCAACAGGGAUUGCCUUAGUAGCGGCGAGUGAAGCGGCAAUAGCUCAAAUUUGAAAUCUGGCACCUUCGGUGUCCGAGUUGUAAUUUGAAGAAGGUAUCUUUGGUUUUGGCUCUUGUCUAUGUUCCUUGGAACAGGACGUCACAGAGGGUGAGAAUCCCGUGCGAUGAGAUGCCCAAUUCCAUGUAAAGUUCCUUCGACGAGUCGAGUUGUUUGGGAAUGCAGCUCUAAGUGGGUGGUAAAUUCCAUCUAAAGCUAAAUAUUGGCGAGAGACCGAUAGCGAACAAGUACUGUGAAGGAAAGAUGAAAAGAACUUUGAAAAGAGAGUGAAAAAGUACGUGAAAUUGUUGAAAGGGAAGGGCUUGAGGUCAGACUUGGUUUUACCAGGCCAGCAUCAGUUUGGAUGGCAGGAUAAUAGCUUAGGAAUGUGGCACUGCUUCGGUAGUGUGUUAUAGCCUGGGUUGAUACUGCCUGUCUAGACUGAGGACUGCGUCUUUGACUAGGAUGCUGGCAUAAUGACCUUAAGCCGCCCGUCUUGAAACACG